UAGGAAUAUGAUGAUUAAAACUGGAAUUACCAAAUGACCAGUGAUUACACUUUACAUCUGAUUCC